CUUCAAAGUUCUUUUAUGAACAACGCAAACCCGCAAAGCGAAACAAGAAAUUGAAUAUUGAGAAGUUUUUUUAUUUCCACUGUGACCAUGGACGACCUUUGACGUGGUGAUAAAAGAGUUGAAGAAGAACCAAGAAGAGGGGAGGAGCGAAAUAAUGAGGAGGAGAGGUCACGCAGGCCACGAGUGUUGACAGAAGAACAAAGAGCUCGGAAGAGAGCGCGUGACCUUGUACUCACCGAGGAGCAAAGAGUGCGAAAAAGACAGACGAGCUCCGAGUAUAGGUUAAGUGGUAAGC